GACGUAGGGUGCAAGCGUUGUCCGGAUUUACUGGGCGUAAAGAGCGCGUAGGCGGUCUUGUAAGUGUGAAGUGAAAUCUCCAGGGCUCAACCCGGAAACUGCUUUGCAUACUGCGAGACUAGAGGGAUGCAGAGGUUUAUGGAAUUCCUGGUGUAGCGGUGAAAUGCGUUGAUAUCAGGAGGAACACCCAUGGCGAAGGCAGCAAACUGGGCAUCAUCUGACGCUGAGGCGCGAAAGCGUGGGUAGCAAACAGG
rnacentral:rRNA from 1 species